rnacentral:rRNA from 1 species
GACAGAGGUCCCGAGCGUUAGGCGGAAUCACUGGGCUUAAAGCGUGUGUAGGUGGAUGCCUAAGUACUUUGUGAAAUCCCACGGCUUAACCGUGGAAUUGCUUGGUAUACUGGGUGUCUUGAGCCAGCUAGGGGCAACCGGAACAAAUGGUGGAGCGGUGAAAUGCGUAGAUAUCAUUUGGAACGCCAAUGGUGAAAACAGGUUGCUGGGGCUGUGCUGACACUGAGACACGAAAGCCAGGGGAGCAAACGGG